ensembl:lncRNA
AUGGAAUUGAUGCAUCUUACACUGAUUCUCAUAGGUCCUUUGGUCUUGUUUUCAAGGAUGGGUGCACUGGAAAAGCUUGACGAACCGGUUCUGUUUGGCCCACUUGUUGGAUUAGAAGGUUCAGUUGUGGAUUUCUUCUGUGAGAUUCCUGGGAAACUGGCAACGUUGUCCGUCCACUAUGAGCUCUAUGCCGAGAAAAACCCGAGUAGGGUGCUUGGGGAGUACUCCUCGCUGUCUGGAGAACUGGCCACUAUUUCUCAGGUUAUCGGCACAAAACAUGACGGUCGACUCAUCUGCAAGGCCAGCGGACACAAUAACACUGAUAUUGAGAGUUCGAUCAGUAAGGGCUUGGACUUCAGAGUCAUCGUUCCAGUGGCGGAAGUGAUGCUCAUUUCACAUCCUUCCAGUGAUUACAUAUGGGAAGGACAAACUUUGACCCUCCAGUGCAAAAUAACCAAAGGAACGUAUGUCUCCUAUGAUUGGUUCUGGAACGACACACCGGUUCAGAUACCGUACGACAAGAAUAACGACACUUUGACCAUUCACAGGGUUUCUGCACAAAAUACAGGCGAUUAUAUGUGUGUGGCAUCAAACCAAUACAACGACACAACGAUCUUCAACUCCAGCAGUAAUGUCGUGACUGUGAAUGUCAAAGCACUGAACACAGUCUCUCCUUUGGUUGUGAUCGUCGUUUUCACCUCUUUUGCCCUGCUGAACCUCGCUGUGAUUGCCUGUUGUAUUUAUGGAGUCGUGCUGCGUGAGUUUAUCUAUAUCACUCAUUACAUCAUCGCUCGUAAUGUGCAGUUCAUCACUAUUUUGACUGUGUAAACCAUACGCUCAUUCCGACCAACCCUAUGUUCUCAGGGAGAAGAUAUUCAAGGAAAUACCCGUGAGUUUUCUGUUUUUUAUUUUACCACUUCAUAAAUCGAGCAUAAAAAUCCAAUGUGUUAUUGAACUAAUGUCCUGCUUUUUAUUCAAGACUUACUGAGCAGCACAGAAAAAUGGGAAUCACCGAUAAAGAUGAGGAGGAUGAAGAUUAUCUAGUGAGGAUGCAUUCUCUUUUAGUUCACAAAUAGACUUUAAGUAAUGAAUAACAUAUAUUCACAAUGAACAUUAUCCAUUAAGGAUAAUGCGACACUGCUGAAAAAUAUGGCCACAAUGUACAUCAUUUCUUCUCUUUGGAACAUGCCUCUAAAUAUUGUCUGAUAUAACCAGCUUACUAGGUCAGAGUUGGUAAAAGAGCAUUUGUGUGUGAUUCUUUAGUUUGAGAUGUUGGAGGGUUAUGAGGAAGACGUUGUCCAAUCUGACAGAUUGAGUGACUCUGCUGAGGUAUGAGUUAUUAUUUAUUAGUUCUAGACUUUCUUCAGAUAGCUGUGGUUUCUCCAUGCUUCCACUAUAGUUCUACUUCAAUUCUGGUGUAGUUCUAGAGGUGUUUUUUAAAAACAUUAAACUUGUCAUUUUGCUCUGUUUGACAGGAUGAAGACCAAUCCGUGGAUGAAUCCGUCCUGUAUGAAGGCGCUGUUUCAGAAUAACUCUAGAGUUUUCUGGGAGUUUAAUCAGAGCCACUGAAACUGAAAGCUAUCCGUUGCAUGUUAUUCUGCUCAGACAGAGGUUUAUUCAAAACGAAACAAUAGACAAGCGCUCAUGUGUUGACAUGACUGUGACCAAUCAGAAGCAAAGAGAGCCAACAAUGUGUCUACUGUCAGAUUCAUGUCAAAUAAGAGCGUGUUUGUACCUACUUAACUAUUUUGGAGACAAAUUUGUACCUAGAAGUGAGAUAAGCCUGAUAAAACUUCCCAAAACCUCCUUUUGGGGAUGUCCUCAGUUGUAAAAAUGUUAUAAAAAUAAUGCUUUUUUUUCUUUUUAAUUAAAUUUUCUGUUAGAUGAUAAUAUUUGUAACUAGCUGUAAACAAUAUAAGUCUAUGCAAUUAAAACAAGUAAACCCUGAGUGUGUGUGUGUGUGUGUGUGUGUGUGUGUAUCUACUUAACCAUAUUUUGGGGAGAAAUGUGUACCCAAAUGUGAGCAAAACCUGACAAAAUUGCCAAAAACCUCCAUUUGGGGAUGUCCUCAUUUGUAAAACUGGUAUAAAAAUAAAGUAAACAAAGUUUUUUUGAAAUUGUAAAAG